rnacentral:rRNA from 1 species
CCUACGGGAGACAGCAGUGAGGAAUAUUGGUCAAUGGGCGAGAGUCUGAACCAGCCAAGUCGCGUGAAGGAUGAAGGCCCUAUGGUUUGUAAACUUCUUUUAUAUGGGAAUAAAAUGUUGGACGUGUGCUGUUUUGUAUGUACCAUAUGAAUAAGGAUCGGCUAACUCCGUACCAGCAGCCGCGGUAAUACGUAGGAUCCGAGCGUUAUCCUGAUUUAUUGGGUUUAAUGGGCGCGUAGGUGGACUGUUAAGUCAGUUGUGAAAGUUUGCGGCUCAACGGUAAAAUUGCAGUUGAAACUGGCAGUCUUGAGUAUAGUAGAGGUGGGCGGAAUUCGUGGUGUAGCGGUGAAAUGCUUAGAUAUCACGAAGAACGCCGAUUGCGAAGGCAGCUCACUGGACUGCAACUGACACUGAGGCUCGAAAGUGUGGGUAUCAAACAGGAUUAGAUACCCGAGUAGUC